UACGAAGGGGGCUAGCGUUGCUCGGAAUCACUGGGCGUAAAGUGUGCGUAGGCGGGUCUUUAAGUCAGGGGUGAAAUCCUGGAGCUCAACCCCAGAACUGCCUUUGAUACUGAGGAUCUUGAGUUCGGGAGAGGUGAGUGGAACUGCGAGUGUAGAGGUGAAAUUCGUAGAUAUUCGCAAGAACACCAGUGGCGAAGGCGGCUCACUGGCCCGAUACUGACGCUGAGGCACGAAAGCGUGGGGAGCAAACAGG
rnacentral:rRNA from 1 species